rnacentral:rRNA from 1 species
CUGUGAAGGGUUAUCGUGAGGUAGCCUGGAGAUAUCAGUAGCGAGAAUGCUGACAUGAGUAACGACAAACAGUGUGAAAGACACUGUCGCCGAAAGUCCAAGGGUUCCUGCGUAAAGCUAAUCUGCGCAGGGUUAGUCGGCCCCUAAGGCGAGGCGGAAACGCGUAGUCGAUGGGAAUGAGGUGAAUAUUCCUCAACCAGUGGGUAGUGACGGAUCUCUUCCGUGGUUUGGUCUUAUUGGAUUGACCGGGCCAUCACGAGGUUCCAGGAAAUAGCUCCCACGAUAGACCGUACCCGAAACCGACACAGGUGGUCAGGUAGAGUAUACCAAGGCGCUUGAGAGAACUAUGUUGAAGGAACUCGGCAAAUUGCACGCGUAACUUCGGAAGAAGCGUGACCCUUAUAUACGCAAGUAUGUGAGGGUGGCACAGACCAGGGGGUAGCGACUGUUUAUCAAAAACACAGGGCUCUGCGAAGCCGCAAGGCGACGUAUAGGGUCUGACGCCUGCCCGGUGCCGGAAGGUUAAAAGGAGUGGUGCAAGCUGCGAAUUGAAGCCCCGGUAAACGGCGGCCGUAACAAUAACGGUCCUAAGGUAGCGAAAUUCCUUGUCGGGUAAGUUCCGACCUGCACGAAUGGCAUAACAACAUCCCCGCUGUCUCGACCAGGGACUCAGCGAAAUUGUAUCGGGGGUGAAGAUACCCUCUACCCGCGGCAAGACGGAAAGACCCCGUGAACCUUUACUGCAGCUUGACAUUGAACUUUGACCUUACUUGUGUAGGAUAGGUGGGAGGCUUUGAAGCGCGGACGCCAGUCUGCGUGGAGCCAACCUUGAAAUACCACCCUUUAAUGUUUGAUGUUCUAACGUAGGCCCGUAAUCCGGGCUGCGGACAGUGUCUGGUGGGUAGUUUGACUGGGGCGGUCUCCUCCUAAAGAGUAACGGAGGAGCACGAAGGUCAGCUAAUCACGGUCGGACAUCGUGAGGUUAGUGCAAUGGCAUAAGCUGGCUUGACUGCGAGAGUGACGGCUCGAGCAGGUACGAAAGUAGGUCUUAGUGAUCCGGUGGUUCUGUAUGGAAGGGCCAUCGCUCAACGGAUAAAAGGUACUCCGGGGAUAACAGGCUGAUACCGCCCAAGAGUUCAUAUCGACGGCGGUGUUUGGCACCUCGAUGUCGGCUCAUCACAUCCUGGGGCUGAAGCCGGUCCCAAGGGUAUGGCUGUUCGCCAUUUAAAGUGGUACGCGAGCUGGGUUUAGAACGUCGUGAGACAGUUCGGUCCCUAUCUGCCGUGGACGUUUGAGAUUUGAGAGGGGCUGCUCCUAGUACGAGAGGACCGGAGUGGACGAACCUCUGGUGUUCCGGUUGUCACGCCAGUGGCAUUGCCGGGUAGCUAUGUUCGGAAUAGAUAACCGCUGAAAGCAUCUAAGCGGGAAACUAGCCUCAAGAUGAGAUCUCACUGGAACCUUGAGUUCCCUGAAGGGCCGUCGAAGACUACGACGUUGAUAGGUUGGGUGUGUAAGCGCUGUGAGGCGUUGAGCUAACCAAUACUAAUUGCCCGUGAGGCUUGAC